rnacentral:sRNA from 15 species
GUCAACUGCCUCCGCCUAAAGGCGGGAGCUUGUGAAAACAAGCUGGGUUGACCAGGGAAAGCGGUAGCCAACCCGCUACGUUGAUAACAGGUCGUUAAGACUCACCGCCGAAUCCUUCCUCAGUUCGGCGCUCUGAA